UUACCAUCUUCAUUCCGUUAUAUUAAUAAUGGCGAGCAGUUCUCGUUCCGCUGCAGUUCCGGUGGCGGUAGAGGGUCCAUCUACGGUGGUGGGAGCCACUGAUUCGCCGACCUUUGAUCGGUUCCCAUUGGUUACCGACAUCCUUUCCCUUCCCGGCGGUCCGGCGAGCCGAUUUUACCGAGCCUGAGGGAGAAGAUCAAGUGGACGAGGCUCCAUUGAUGGGGGAGGUUGGCUUAGCUCAACUGAGGGAGCAAUGUGAGAUUCCUCGCUUUGCCGACAUCGUCUUGGCCAGGAGCUGCGAUAGGGUGCAUGUCGACCAACGAGGGUACUGCGUCUUCUAUGCCUACCCUUCUAGGCUGGGAUUUAGGCUUCCUCUCCCCUUGUUGGUGGUGGAUCUUUGCCGCUAUUACAGGGUAUGCCCUGGCCAGCUC
rnacentral:lncRNA from 1 species